rnacentral:rRNA from 1 species
GACGAACGCUGGCGGCGUGCUUAACACAUGCAAGUCGAACGGAAAGGCCCUGCUUUUGUGGGGUGCUCGAGUGGCGAACGGGUGAGUAACACGUGAGUAACCUGCCCUUGACUUUGGGAUAACUUCAGGAAACUGGGGCUAAUACCGGAUAGGAGCUCCUGCUGCAUGGUGGGGGUUGGAAAGUUUCGGCGGUUGGGGAUGGACUCGCGGCUUAUCAGCUUGUUGGUGGGGUAGUGGCUUACCAAGGCUUUGGAGGGUAGCCGGCCUGGGAGGGUGAACGGCGACAUUGGGCCUGAGAUACGGCCCAGACUCCUACGGGAGGCAGCAGUGGGGAAUAUUGCACAAUGGGCGGAAGCCUGAUGCAGCAACGCCGCGUGCGGGAUGACGGCCUUCGGGUUGUAAACCGCUUUCGCCUGUGACGAAGCGUGAGUGACGGUAAUGGGUAAAGAAGCACCGGCUAACUACGUG